rnacentral:rRNA from 1 species
AUUGAACGCUGGCGGCAUGCCUUACACAUGCAAGUCGAACGGUAACGCGGGGGCAACCCUGGCGACGAGUGGCGAACGGGUGAGUAAUACAUCGGAACGUGUCCUGUUGUGGGGGAUAACCCAUCGAAAGGUGAGCUAAUACCGCAUGAUCUGGAGACAGCAAAGCAGGGGACCGGUAACGGCCUUGCGCGAUUGGAGCGGCCGAUGUCCGAUUAGCUAGUUGGUGGGUAAAGCCCACAGGCAACGAUCGUAGCUGGUCUGAGAGGAUGAUCAGCCACACUGGGACUGAGACACGGCCCAGACUCCUACGGGAGGCAGCAGUGGGGAAUUUUGGACAAUGGGGGCAACCCUGAUCCAGCCAUGCCGCGUGAGUGAAGAAGG